GACGAACGCUGGCGGCGUGCUUAACACAUGCAAGUCGAACGGAAAGGCCCUGCUUUUGUGGGGUGCUCGAGUGGCGAACGGGUGAGUAACACGUGAGUAACCUGCCCUUUACUUUGGGAUAACUUCAGGAAACUGGUGCUAAUACCUGAUAGGAGCUCCUGCUGCAUGGUGGGGGUUGGACCGUUUCGGCGGUUGGGGAUGGACUCGCGGCUUAUCAGCUUGUUGGUUGGGUAGUGGCUUACCAAGGCUUUGACGGGUAGCCGGCCUGAGAGGGUGACCGGGCACAUGGGGACUGAGAUACGGCCCAGACUGGUACGGGAGGCAGCAGGGGGGAAUAUUGCACAAUGGGGGGAAGCGUGAGGAAGCAACGCCGCGUGUGGGAUGACGGCCUUCGGGGGGUAAACCGCUUUCGCCUGUGACGAAGCGUGAGUGACGGUAAUGGGUAAAGAAGCACCGGCUAACUACGUG
rnacentral:rRNA from 1 species